rnacentral:rRNA from 1 species
GUGACAGCCGCCGCGGUAAUACAGGGGGUGCAAGCGUUAUUCGGAUUAUUGGGCGUAAAGAGCGUGUAGGUGGUUCGUUAAGUUUGGUGUGAAAGCCCUGGGCUCAAUCCAGGAAGUGCAUUGAAUACUGGCGGACUAGAGUAGAGGAGAGGAUGGCGGAAUUCCAGGUGUAGAGGUGAAAUUCGUAGAUAUCUGGAGGAACAACAGUGGCGAAGGCGGCCAUCUGGACUCUUACUGACACUAAGGCGCGAAAGCGUGGGGAGCAAACAGGAUUAGAAACCCCAGUAGUCC